CGCUGAGCAGGAUGUAGUAGAGCGAAGUGCUCGCGCUGGGGCGUGUCGUCUGACCAGUGUUUGGAGGUAGAUGGGUGCAGAGAGAGAAAGAGAAAGCCAGUGGAGGUCACGGAGGAGGGGGCUCACAUGGGUAUCUUAUUGUGAAGGUCCCGAACAAAGACUCCAUUCAGGCCGCUGAUGCCUCAGGAUCCCGAUGGAGCCUUUCCAUGCUGGCCCUCUCUAACAAGAUCAGACCCAGCCCUCAUAGAUUCUAUUACCCGACCACUCUAUUACAUUACAUCUCCAUUUACGAACCUUAAGCAGCUCCGAGCACGGCUGGGGCUUCGACCUUGUCAAAGAGGAGAAACUCUGACCAGAUCGAGUAAGAGAGUAAAGGCAGAAUAUGAAAAAAAAAA